rnacentral:rRNA from 1 species
CCUUAGUAGCGGCGAGUGAAGCGGCAAGAGCUCAAAUUUGAAAUCUGGUACCUUUGGUGCCCGAGUUGUAAUUUGAAGAUCACAAUCUUGGAAUUGGUCCUUGUCUAUGUUCCUUGGAACAGGACGUCACAGAGGGUGAGAAUCCCGUGCGAUGAGGAUACCUUUUUCAUUUAAGAUGUGUUCGACGAGUCGAGUUGUUUGGGAAUGCAGCUCAAAGUGGGUGGUAAAUUCCAUCUAAAGCUAAAUAUUGGCGAGAGACCGAUAGCGAACAAGUACAGUGAUGGAAAGAUGAAAAGAACUUUGAAAAGAGAGUGAAAAAGUACGUGAAAUUGUUGAAAGGGAAGGGUAUUUAAUCAGACUUGGUAUUUAGCUAUCUCUUCUCCUUGUGGGAGGGGCUCUAGCUUUUUACUGGGCCAGCAUCAGUUUUGGUGGUAAGAUAAUCGCAGUUGAAUGUGGCUCCUCGGAGUGUUAUAGCUUCUGUUGAUGUUACCUACUGGGACUGAGGUCUGCGGCUUUGCCUAGGAUGCUGGCGUAAUGAUUAAACACCGCCCGUCUUGAAACAUGGACCAAGGAGUCUAACGUCUAUGCGAGUGUUUGGGUGUAAAACCCGUACGCGUAAUGAAAGUGAACGUAGAUCAGGGCCCGUAUGGGUGCACGAUCGACCGAUCCUGAUGUUUUCAGAUGGAUUUGAGUAAGAGCAUAGCUGUUGGGACCCGAAAGAUGGUGAACUAUGCCUGAAUAGGGUGAAGCCAGAGGAAACUCUGGUGGAGGCUCGUAGCGGUUCUGACGUGCAAAUCGAUC